rnacentral:rRNA from 1 species
AGCGAACGCUGGCGGCAGGCCUAACACAUGCAAGUCGAACGAGACCUUCGGGUCUAGUGGCGGACGGGUGAGUAACACGUGGGUACGUGCCCUUAGGUUCGGAAUAACUCAGGGAAACAUGAGCUAAUACCGAAUGUGCCCUUCGGAGGAAAGAUUUAUCGCCUUUAGAGCGGCCCGCGUCUGAUUAGCUAGUUGGUGAGGUAAUGGCUCACCAAGGCUACGAUCAGUAGCUGGUCUGAGCGGAUGGCCAGCCACAUUGGGACUGUGACACGGCCCAAACGCCUACGGGAGGCAGCAGUGGGGAAUCUUGCGCAAUGGGCGAAAGCCUGACGCAGCCAUGCCGCGUGAAUGAUGAAGGUCUUAGGAUUGUAAAAUUCUUUCACCGGGGACGAUAAUGACGGUACCCGGAGAAGAAGCCCCGGCUAACUUCGUGCCAGCAGCCGCAGUAAUAC